GAUGAACGCUGGCGGCGUGCCUAAUACAUGCAAGUCGAGCGAACAGACGAGGAGCUUGCUCCUUUGACGUUAGCGGCGGACGGGUGAGUAACACGUGGGUAACCUACCUAUAAGACUGGGAUAACUUCGGGAAACCGGAGCUAAUACCAGAUAAUAUUUCGAACCGCAUGGUUCGAUAGUGAAAGAUGGCUUUGCUAUCACUUAUAGAUGGACCUGCGCCGUAUUAGAUAGUUGUUAAGGUAACGGCUUACCAAGGCAACGAUACGUAGCCGACCUGAGAGGGGGGUAGGCCACACUGGAAGGGAGCCACGGUCCAGACUCCUACGGGAGGCAGCAGUAGGGAAUCGUCCGCAAUGGGCGAAAGCCUGACGGAGCAACGCCGCGUGAGUGAUGAAGGUCUUCGGAUCGUAAAACUCGGUUAUUAGGGAAGAACAAACGUGUAAGUAACUGUGCACGUCGUGACGGUACCUAAUCAGAAAGCCACGGCUAACUACGUG
rnacentral:rRNA from 1 species